CAACCACCUACCUAGCAAAGCUCUUUCAACCGCUCCACUUCUCUUCUUGCCAGAAGACUCUGCAAGAAAGCAGCCUAAACAGAGCAACAUGGCAUUCUCAAGUUCUACAACAAGUUACCACCAGCCUAUUUCGGCUGUUUUAACUCUUCAAACCAAACUCCCCUUCCAUCUUUCCCUUUCAAGCCACUCAAAUUCCCUCCACUCUGGCCCUGGCAGAAGGUGAAGAUGGACCCACUCACUGUGUCUCCAAUGGGGUCUGGAACAUGGGCCUGGGCCAACAAGCUUUUAUGGGAGUACCAAGAAUCAAUGGACGCUUAUCUUCAACACACUUUUAACUUGGCUGUUGAUAUGGUAUCAAUCGUUUUGAUAUUCUGCUGAUUCUUAUGGAACUGGCAGGUGAAAUGGCCAAAGUGAAAAGCUACUUGGCAAGUUGUUACAAGAAUUUCCUGGUUGGUAUGUUUUCUUGGUUCCAUUUGUUCACUAAAUCAUUCAGGAUUCUAUUCAAUUGCUAUAAUUUUGAGCCUUUUUGCUUAAUAUCUGAGAAAAUUCUAUUCUUCUUGGUCCCAUGAUGAGUAUUGAAUGCAAGAAUGAUCUGUGUAGAUUGACGUAUCUACAGUUGAUUUCAAUCUUCAUUGUUAGGAUCACACUAUCUGAUAAAGAGAAUAAUCAUAGAAACAAUCACGCGUAUACACUUACACUUUGUAAAUCUUCGUGGUUCUGCUAUGCUUACGUCUACAAGAGAGCAAAGAGGAUAGAUUUUCACCAUAUCGGAACAGUAAAAGUUUGGAGAACUCUCAACCCUUCUCCCAAGCACUUCCAAUUUGGCUUCCUGGAGAAAAAUGCCUGACAUCCUUGAGCCUAAAAUUCAAGCCAUACUCAACAAAUAUCUAUUGUUUUGUUGCCCUGUUGAUCAACUUAUGAAUGAUUCCAUAUCCACUUGAUCUCUAGACUUUUCAUAAUUUGAAUAGUGAUAUUGACAAGUCCUAUAUAACUAUUUGUUGUGAAAAUAAGAUAAAUGAAGUUAGAAUAUAGAUUCUUUAUCCUGUGAUGAGAUUUGAAUCCUGCUUUUCAUGGUCAGAGAUGGGGAAAGAAUCUUUGUUUUGACUGUCACAAAUUUUUUACUAAUGGCUUUUCGUUCAUGAAUUCAUAGGAAAGCAGACAUGAAAUGACAAUUUUUUUACUAAUGGCUUUUUGUUCAUGACUUCUAUUUAGGCAAAUUCUUCCUAGAUUGGAGCCUGUAUUGAACUUCUUAAGAGAAAUUGCACAAUAAAGGAGUAAUCCUUUUUAGUAAUUGCUUCUUGUCUAUGCCUAAUGGAAAAUUCAUGAUUCCGGGGGAUCGGAGAAUUUGUGAGUAGAUUUAUGAAUCGGUAACGGGAUUAAUUUGGAGAAAACAAGGUAUCAACAUAAUAAGGAAACAAUUGAUCAGUUACCGCUUCAUAUGUUUGCUAGUUGAGUUCCUUUCUCUAAUGCCAUCCAUUCCAAAGCAACAAUAGCUGCCUUUUGUAAGGCUUUGUGUUAGCAGGUUGCGAUAAACUGGUACAUCUGCAAGGGUGCUAUUCCAAUUCCGGGAGUUAAGACAGUAAAGGAAGCAGAGGAAAACUUGGCUGCCCUUUGUUGGCGCCUGAGUUCUGAUGAGUUGCUUCAGUUAAAAUACGCAGCAAGCAAGUCUCCUAAGAACAUGAUCCAAAACAUUUUCCAGACAAGUUGGCUCAAACAACAGAACAGGUCUAUACACCUUUGGCUCUGCCUAGCUUCUGGAAAAGAUCCAUGUUCUAGGGUUCCGGCUUGGGAUUUCAGGCCGUAAUCAACACAAAACAUAAUCCAAGCAUAUCCUUUCAGAAAAGUACAUAUAUUGAACAUUAAGAUCAGUAGUCUCAAUUUUCUUCUCUGGGUUGGCUAGGUAAGUUUGCUUGCAGGCUUGCUGUCUUCAUAUCAUUGAGCACUUCAAAAGAAAAUUUGCCUGUCAGUUUCCGUAGGAUUUGUUCACAUGAAUUUGACAAAUUUAACAUUUAAAGCCUCUUAUCCAACCCUUUCUUCAUCUGUCAUUGGAGGCAGCAUUAUUAUCAUUAGGGGAACAAGAAGAGGCAUUUCUUGAUAUGUUUUCUUUCUUAAUUACUAUUUCCUGCUAACUGAUACUCCUAGGGAAUACUAGGAUGAGUUCAAGCUCUCAAAGUAGAGAAUUAUGAAUUCAUGAUCCUUGUAAAUACUAUACAGGAACAGUUCCUGAAACAUGAAACGGAUAGCAGUUUAUUAAAAUCAGGUCCUGGAGAAAACAAAUGCCGAGAUUCUUCAACCUUGCUUGCUUUAGAUGAUUGAGCACCUAAUAAGAAUUUAGCAUUCAUUUGUUUGUAAGAUUUAAAACAUAAGCAUACGCAACACAUUCUAUUCAUGCAUAAAGAUCAUAUAUUCAUGGUUACAGAAUUCUGGAGUGCAGAUGCAUUUCUUCUCCACUUCCCUAAUCUUUUUUAAAAAAAUCUGUAGAAUCCGCAGAGCACAGUUCACUGAGUAUGAAAGAAUUUGUGCACCUUGCCGUUUAUUAGUUUUCUGUUCAUUAGGAUGUUCGUUGGCCCUCACCUUCCUAAAUCCAUCCUGUAAGCAGGAUUUUGCAGCGAGUGACUUUACCAGCUAGCUAGCUGUCACCCACCUUAAACUAUUUGUUAUGCUGAACCAGUUUGAACUUCUCUUUAUUUAAGCACAUAGCUUAUUGUAAGUAGAACGCAGUCCUUUCCAUGGAUAAUGUUAGAGUUGAAGCAACUCAAAAAGACAAAGUGUAUGAGAGGUCAUUGUCGCUGUCAUUCUAUCAAAUUCUAGAUUCACCAAUUGUAACUGAACAAUUUAGUGUCUACCCACAUAAAAUUUGUUCCAAAAGAAUUUGUUACUCAUUUAGUUCCUUAUUGUAACUGAAAACUUAACAUAAAUAUAAACUUGGAAUGUAGGAAAAGAAUAUAAAAGAUUGUUCCUAAACUAAUAAGAGAGCAUUGGCAGGCUCAUUCCUUUAACAAGCUUGCUGGGAUUUCAAUUUUUCCUCUCUUGUGCUUCUUUCUUUCCACUUCUUAAUUGACUUGCUCCUACCAUUCAGGUUCAGGUUGCACUCGAGAAAUUUUGCAUGCAACAAGGUUUUCUAUCUGAACAUUAAUGUAAAGCAUCAUUAGACGAAUUGAAGUGUACUUCCUGAAACAGAUGCAUUGAAAUACGGUGUAGAUUCAAGUGAAUUAUACUACCUUUUCUUGAGUGCUACGGUCGUUGUUGUUAAUUGGAACAAACUCGGGAUUGACUCUGAACUCCUCUACCAUCCAUUCAGUUUCAGUUCCAUUAGGUGAGCUUCCUAGAUAGAAAUUCAGAGUCUUUACAUAACCAACAACUUUUCCCUCCCAUGUGAUCGGGCCAGCACCUUCGGGAUCGAUUGCGUAGUAGCCACCAUCCAGUGCAAUAAUGUUAUCAUCAUUGCUUCUAGUUGAAAAGAAAAACCACUCGUUGGGCACCCCGCCCUUAAAAUCAUCUAAAUAUUCAUUACACAAGUUAGAUUUUAAAGCAUGUAACUUAAUCAUGUAAUGUAAAUUAUGUUGACUUCGUUCAUGCUGAAGUUGCAACUAAUUAAUGGUGGAAACAUGAUAGUGUAAUGGGAAACAUUAGAAGAUAGAUCAACUAGAAGUAUAACAGAUGAAGCACUAGCAGUUUAGUGUUAAGACUAAAACAUCCAAAUUAAACUAAUACUCCAGCAUAAUCUAAUCUAAUGCCCAGCUAUGUGGCAUGUAAUUGGUUGUUUGGUGAUUUCAUAUGCAUGGGUCAUUGGAGAUUCAAACCGCCAAACCAUAAACAUGUCUUAAGAUAGUGUUUGGUUAUUGACUCGGGAGAAAAAGUUGAGACAGAGCGGACAUGUUCAUGUUCUCGUAAUCGUGUUUUGUUUUUUUAUCUGGUAUCAAUCUUACCCCUUCUUCAACUAAACAUGUUUAGCUCUGUUUUGUAUACCUCACUUUUGACUUUUGUGAUUUAAGAUGUUAAAGCUUCAUUAACUAUAACCAAACAUGCAUAGUCAAUCACGUGUCAAAAAAAUUAAAUUAAAAAACAAUGAUAAAAAAAAAACUUACCCAAGGGGAGUUUAUCAGGGCUUGAUGCAUAUACAUCAGUGGUGGGAAUAACAUCAGCAGGAAGUUGUUGGCCCAGAAUUUUUCUCUUCAAAUAAUAAACAAUAAGAUCAUCAUUAUCAGGGCUAAAUUUGUAGCCAGCAAGGAGAACUGGCACGUUCAAAGCUUGUCCGCCGCGAGCCAUUGAGAUAUUUCGACAAACUAUAUAAUGAGAAGGAGUGUGAUUGCAAUAAGAAAAACUAAGUACUAGUCAAUAAAGUAAUGAUUUGUGCAUGGCAGAGUUGUGUAUAUAUAAAGACUGGAAUUGAGUUGGCUCCAAUUUGCAUGAGUAAAUAAAUCCUGAUGCUACAAUUUAGUAUUUUUCUUGUUCUGUUUGAUUAGUUCACCCACUGUUACUGUUAAGCGGGAUUCUACCAGGAAAAAGAAAAAGGGCUCAAGCUGUUCGGAUUUUGAAGGAACUAAAUUCCUACUCCAAAAUAGGAAAAUGAAAAAUAAGAGGAUAGUUUGUGAUUUUAUAAUUCUAGACGUACGUGAUGAACCCUCACUCCUUUCUUUAGAGCAUGCUCAAGUAAAGUUGAUACUCAUAAUAUGCAAUGUACAGAUAUAAGAGGCUUUAUAUGCGGCAGAAAAAGUGUUUUGAAGUCAGCAACUCAACCUGGCAGAACUAGGUCUCUCAGCUGAGGAAUUUUGAGUUAUAAUUAGAAUCAAUUAUGUUAGUUUAUAUCUUAGAUUAGAUUAGGCUUAUCUUUAUUAAUUAUAUUCAAUUAAAUUUUUUUAUUAUUAUUAAUAUGGGUGUCCGGGCCAGCUUGCGCACACCUCGACUAAUCCACGGGCCCUAAAACUAACGACCAUGUAAGCCUCCAGUAGCCCUGAGGUUUGUGAGACUCGAAAACCUCUACGGAGCAAACAUAGAACUUGAUCAGUUGAGCUACACCUCUCAGAUUAGACUAGUAAGUAAAACUAUAUAAAUAACCACAUAAAAAAAUGAAAUCAAACACCUUCACAAAAUUUUCUGAAGGUAAUGUGAUGAAUUGGGAUUGUAGAAACUGAAGGUCUUGAGCAUUCAAGUAAGGAUCUGACAUAAUUAGAUGGGCACAACUAGAUCACUAGAUGGGGAUCUGAUCUAUAUAGACUUUAUAGAUGGCUUCACAUAUAUUUUUAUAGACUAGUAGCACAACUUAGACUCAUGAGAAAGUUUGGUCGUGAUAGAUUGAGUUAGCAUCUUAAAAUAAAGAUAAACUAUGUGGAUGACUUAUCAUAUAUUUUUAUAAACCGAUAAAACAUGUUUAGGUUUAAAAGAAGGUUUGGUAUUACUAUAUUGGUUUAACAACUUGAAAUAGAAAUAACAGAAGAUCCAAAUAUUAGGUUUAAGCUCAAAUUUGUUUAGGUGAUGCUACAAACAAUUUUCCUAUGGGUCUGUUGAAUCUCUUGGGAUUAGGAAUCAGGCCUAUAAAGUUGUUUAGAAUAAUUUUGUUAUUUUUUCUAAGUAAUUUUUGGAUUUAUUAUUUAAUUCAGAUUUUUGUUUUAAUUCCUUGCUGCUUUCGGAUUUCUAAUUGCUUCUUGGUACAGGUAGGUUUUUUGACCUAUAUAUAGAUCUUGUAAAAACUUUAAGGAGACAUUGUGGUUCUAUUUUCAGAUAAAUAAAUUUUAAAUUUUAAAUUUAUAUCCUCAACUCUUUUUACUCAUUAAAUUUGUUGUGUUUUCUAUGUUGUUGUUAUUCUUAUACCUUCCGUCUGCAUCAUCAACAUGUGUACUAAAGUAUGGAAUUGAGGUGAGAGUCUUCCUCCCUGUUCCGUGCUGGCUGUCUCGUUCCUAUUCCCAGUCUGCCUCGGGCUCGGCAUUCUUGCAAUACAUGAGGACAUAAGACCUGAGCAGCUAAUGAUUUUCAUAUUUUGAGGAUGUUAUAUUUGACCAAUUAUUUUGAAAAAUCACAGCAUUCUGAUUGGAGAUUGCUUGACUAGUAUCAAAUAUUUUAAGACAAACAAAAGUUGAGAAUCAUCUUAAUAGGAUGAACCGCGUGUAUAUCCCUUGCUUCAACCAAAAUUGAAGGAGUUGCAUAGAUGGAGAUUUGACAUCA